UGAGCCAAUGGGUGAAUUCUAUGAGGCACUGAGUUGACCAAUCAGCUGCCAGCUAGGCUCUGUUACAGUUACGCCUCUAGUUUUGCGUCACUGCACGUUCUUUUGGCGCUUGCACUUGAGCAUAGGAGGCUGCGUUAUCUGCUUGAGUGUAAACGAAAGCUGUGCCUGAAUCCACUGUUGUCACGGAGCUAAAGGCAGUGAAUUCCGUUAAAAUGGUCAGGUUUUGGUAAAGAGUUGGGAACAUCGGGCAGAGAUCCU